UUUUUUUUUUUUUCAGUUAAAAGAUGCUCAAACUAUUGGUCAGUCCUAUUUAUAAUGUGCCUUCCCUGAAACUCCAUGCUCCCAGUCACUUCUUUGUAAGUAUUUUUUUGGGGUUUUUUUGGGGGAGCAGGGGGCACCCACGGCACAUGAAGGUUCCCAGGGAUACAAUGAACAAAAAAAUAAUAGUUUUUAAAUCACAUGGGAUUUGCAUUCUGCUGUGCGAAAUAGGCAAACACACACACACACACACACACACACACAAACACAAAAAAAAUAAGAAUUAUAAAUGUGGUAAAUGCUAUUAAGAAGACAAAGCUUUGCCAGAUUGGUCUUGAAAGCUGAAUUGUGGAAUUCCAAAACCUAAAAAUAAAAAAUUCAUGAAGAGUUACAUCUAGAUGACAUGGAUUCUACAGACCUUUGCUAAUGCAUAAGAACACUACAGACACUGCCUGUGAAAAGAGAUCAAUCUUUCAUUGUCGAAGCUACUGGAUGACAUUACUUAGCAAUAUAGCAGCCUCAAAGAUAAUUAACCUCACAGUUCCACCGAGUUAAAAAGCAUGCAAACACAAUUUUAAAAAAACUUAGAGGAGCUUAAGGAGAAAGACAACCAUAAAGUAAUGUGGUAUCCUGAACUGAAUGUUGGAACAGAAACAGAUAAAAAUGAGGAAAAUCUGAAUAAAUUAGAGACUUUACUUAAUAAUGCAUCAAUAUUGGUCCAUUAAUUGUAACAAAUGUGCCAUACUAAUGAAAGAUGUUAAUAAUAAGGGAAAUUGGGUGGGACUCUAUGUGAACUCUCUGCAUUAUCUUAAUUUUUAUGUAAAUCUAAAACUGUUCUAACAAAAUUGAGUUUACUUUUAAAAAAAUCUAAGAUGGCUUCAGGAAUUGGCAGGAAGGGGAUUUAGUAAAGACUUAAAGAAGUUAAGAAAUGAGAAGCUAUAAAACUCUGCAAUGAGAAUUAGAAGUAAAUACUCAAGAAAUACAAAGGAAACCUGCAGAUACAUAAGUUAGGACUCUAUUCAUACUAAAAUUUUCCUAGGAUGGAGAUUUUUCAUGCAAACUAAAUAUCUCUGCAUCACAACAUCAGGCAGGCAAAAACAUCCCUAGAGUGCACAAUAAGCACUUAUCCUAUCAAUAAUGACCAAUAGCUGUAUUUUAUGAAUGGCACUGCCCUAAAAUUGUUAUAAUACCUGGACAAGGAUCAACCUCACAGGUCUCAAGUUACUUAAAGAAACAAAUUCAGAAAAAAUAAACAAAGAGGAAACUUGGUAAGACAACAAGGAGAAAAAAAUUAUGUAUGAGAGCAGAAAAAUGAUUUCUCAGGUCUAAUUGGAAGCAAUUUUGCAACUAUUAUUAACCUACUUUAAUGUCACACAAAUUAGUGUAAAUAGUUCAAAGUAGUAACAAAAGCCUUGAAUUAACAUCAGUUAUCUUCUUCCCAACCAAAAGAAAUAAAUGUCUUCUAUAGUCUAACCUAAAAACACCUAACAGAUAACAAUGUCUAAUGACUUCGGAAGACCUAAUCUCUCACUGCCUCAAUUUUAAAGACAGCCAGGAAAAGUGAGAGAAAAACAAUGAAGGGUGAUCACCUCUAAACUGCAGAGUAUGAAGUGUGUAUAACACAGCAUAAAAUUGGAAUUACCACAAGAAGUAAUUUUAGAGACAGCAGCCAUCACAAAAUAAGGACCUUUAUCUAACACAAAGUAAGGACCUUUAUCUAACACAAAGUACAAUGACGGCAGAAGCAUGGUCAGGUAAACAAAUGAUUUUACUCAUCAGAUACAGUGGAAUAUUAACCAUAAAAGAAGCAUUUCGCCAAAAUGGUAUCAUGUAUUUAUCUAACUUAGAUAACCAGAUGAAAAACCCAUCUCUUCUCUCUCUCUUACUCCCUGACCCCAAAGGAAAUCCUACAAAACAAAGAUGUUCGUUAUCCUAAAGCCUUCUCUCACAGGAAUCCUCAAUCUAUCAUUGGAAAAUACUCAAAAAGAAAUGGAAUAAUUAGCAUUUCCCCAGUAAUUCCUGUUUGCUCCACUGUGAGGAGAAUCAGACCCCGCUUCGUGUUAAAACAGAAAAAGGAGAGAUGAGAUGUGAAAAAUUCCAAGUAAAACGAUCAUGACAUAGCACCUGGCAGAGACUGGAAAAGCAUCCACGCGGCCAAAAGGAUCGUCAAGGAUGAAAGUCAGGACAAGAAAACGAGGUUUUCCAACAAGCCGCAGCCUAGCCCAUCGGGUAAAAAUCGCCACUGCCGCCGCCCCUCCCUCACUCCCCCACCACUCCAUCCUCAAGUCGCCUCCAAGGCCGACGUGGACCCUCUGGAACCCAGGCCAAUCCCCCACCCAGGUGAAAACAAUCCAAGAAUUUUCUAGGACUCCCCACUUUCCACCUUCCAGAAGAUCUGCACUUCUCAGGGCCAAGCCUCUGGGGAAAACAACGCCCAGAUCCCCCCUCCCGGCGCGAGGUUCCAAAGAGCCGGGUCCCGCCGGUGGGCCUCGCAGGGCUGACCGACCGGGAUCAGAGCGAGGAACAAGGGUGGGGCUCAAGGAAGGGAGCGGGAGCUGGCGAGACGACGGAGACCGGAGGAAGAAAGGGAUGGACAGGAGGCUGGGCGGGGUGAGGACUGGGGAGGGCACGUCGACAGGGGAGGGCCGGGCUGCGGGGAGAGGAGCCGGCGGAGUCGGGGCCAGAAGGGGCAAAAUCCGCCCGACGGAUCGCGGCGAGGAAGCACGGGGGGCGACGAGGGGGCGGCCGACGCGGGGCCGGGGCCGGGGGCGGAGGGCGAACGCGAGGGCCGCAGCAGCCUCCGCGGCCGAAGGGCCGCACUGGGGGCGGUGCGGGGAAGCCGCGGCCAGCUGCCAGGAGUGGGGGAGCCGCGCACUCACCGCUCUGCUCCCCCAGGAACACCAGCUUGAAUUUCCUCAGCGGAUUCCCGAAGUCUCCGCCCGCGGACAUGAUGGAGCCGGAGGAGCUGCGCCGCCUCAGCCCAAAGACCUCCCGGACCGACGCGGCUCCAAGCAGUGGACGGAGAGGCUAGAGAAUGGGCGGGCGCCCAGCUCUCUCGGCCGCUGCAGGGCCCGGAGCGGAGCAAGACCGGAGGGCAGGGCCCCUCGACACAGACAGGCAGCCGUCGCCGCCGCCUCCCCUCAGAGCCGCCUAGCACCGAGCGAGGCCCGAGGCUGGGAAGGGAACGAAGGCGGUGUCGGAAGCAGCCAGGGGCGUGCUCAGGGGUCCGAAGGCCAGAGCGGCUCCCUUCUCAGCACCCGGCUCGGAGGCUGGGGUGAGGGCGGAGGAGCCGGAGCCGCAGACGCGCCUGGGACCUCUCACACGCAGCGCUUCAGCGCCUCAGCUGCCGCCGCCGCAGCCCAACCUGCUGAGU
ensembl:lncRNA